rnacentral:misc_RNA from 1 species
GAAAUCGGUAAUGUGUCAGUUUCUCUAUUCGUUUACAUGAUGAAUAUGUUGUUUAUUAUUGGCAACUGUAAUAUUAAGCAUAUAUGUUCGAAAUCGAAUACUAUUACUUUCGUAUGCUUGAGUUCAUGUAUAACACUGUUUUGUAUUGUGAUUAUUUUGCGAGGUACUUACAAUGGUGUGAUCAUAAGGCAAAAGCCACAAGAAUGACUUAGCGAAGGCCCAAUGAGAUUCAUGCAGAGGCAUGU